GGAGCGAGGGGGGCUGGGCCGCGCGCGCCUCUUUCCCUUCCCCUCGUUUUCUCCUCAUGCCCGCAAAGCUGUUGUUGCCGCCGCCGCCAACACGGCUGGAGCGGGCGGGAUGGAGAAAGGAGGCGGUGGGUGUCGCCCCCCGUGAAUUCUUCCUCAGUCGGUAGGAGAUGCAGCAGGAGGAGGAGUCUGUGGUGCCAACGGGUAUGUUGCCGUCCCUUCAGUCUGCACGUCCCCAGACCCGCCUGAGGGAAAGCGAGAAUAGGCUUUGCCGCUUCCAUGAACGCUCAUCCCGGCGGGAGGGAUGGUGCUACUGUCCCCUCCGCCUUUUUUGCCUUUUAAAAUCGGUUGUAAAUUCAGCUUUCCUGAAACUUGUCUCUCCCCCCACCCCUCUCUUGGCUGGCCGGUGAUUACCGAGGGUAUAAUAUGAGAUCCGUAUCAUCAGCCGCGAGGGAAAAGCGCUCUGUACAUGGUCAGAGGCGUCUUUGGUCUCUCGCUCAAGGCAGAAUAUACUGAUUUCUCUUGGUUGAAAGCAGAAGGUAUGAGCUUGGAGGUAGAGAUGCCAAGGCUGGAGUUUGCGUUUUUCGUGAUUCAAGAGGAGGUCCCUGGUUCCUUUGUGGUGGAAAGCGUUCUGGGCAUGUUCAGAGGCACUGUCCUCUUCCAGUACUUUUUGCGCGUUUCGGCAGACCUGUUAACGCAAAAUAAAUUAUGGGGCAGAGCCUUGGGGUGGGGAAGCUUUUAAAGCCCAAGGCUUUUUUGGGGGGGGGGGGCACAUGCCACUGGUUGGCAAGCCUCGAGGGAAAUGUGAGCUGAGCAAAGAAUGUGAAUUUUUCCCUCGGUACAGCAGGCCAGCUUGCUACACAUGCUUGAACACUUCUGUUUAUCCUCCAUCCAUGGAAGCAAGAGGCGUUAUCGAGAGUUCAAGAGCCAGUGCGGUGUAGUGGUUAGAGUGUUGUACUCGGGAUACCAGGGUUCAGAUCUCCACACAGCCAUGAAGCUCACUGGGUGACCCUGGGACAGUCACCGACUCUCAGCCCUAACCUACCUCGCAAGGUUGUUGUUAGGAUUAAAUAGGGAGGAGAACUGUGUGUAUAACCUUGAGCUCCUUGGAGGGAAGUUGGAACAGAAAUGUAAAAGUAAGUAAAUAAAAUGCUCCAGCCAGGCUGAAAGAAAAAGGUGGAAAGCAGGGCCAGGGGAAGAGCCUUGGAGGGCCACAUUCUGCCUGUGGGCCUGAAAGUCUCCACUCCUCAUUUAAGUUUUGUCAGUAGGUGAGUUAAAAGCAGAGUGUCUUAAUGGUGUAGCAGCUGAAUUCAUUGAGGUGGCAGUGUGAGGGCAAUAUGUUCACGGGUUGGAACCUGGUGACUAUGGCCUAAGUGGCACAAUCCUGCUUUUCUGAGCCUAUAUGUGGAGGAGAGAGAUGGAGAAUGUCACAAAGUCAUUAUUUCCCAGCCCACAUUUGACUAUUAGCAUCUUUGGCAGGGUGCCCAGCAGGGCAUCAUAUCUCAUGGAGUCUCCACUAGAUGUGCACUUGAUGUACCGGUAUUUUGCUUGCCAGAUCACCCCCGUCCCCAACCCUUUAGCCAGAUUUCUGUUAGGUCCCUGGGGCAUUAACAGCAGUCAAACAUGUUGGACUUCCAUGGUCUCUGUUCCACUCUCUUCCCUCACCCUGCUUGCUGUUUUCCCAAAGCCAUGCCAUGUCCCUCUGUGCUUCUAGUCAUUGCCCAGCUGUUGAAAUCUAACAAAGGCUUAAAAAAACUUUUCAUUUUUUCCCCUCCCACAGAAGAUAUCUGUCCUCCUCACCCAGCAUUUGGGGGGGGGGGAGUGGGGGGAGGAGGAGAGAUCUUACCAAUUGGAAAUCAUGUAGCUGCAAGGCUAAAAUCCAGGACUCUGAAAAAGCAAGUACUGUACUAUUAUAGAUGCCCCAUAUUGUUUAUUUUAAUAGCUUGUGUCUCAUUCCAAAGCAUUCCAGUUGAUGUAGAUUUCACAGCUCAGGAGUGUACCUUAUUUUUUGUUUUAUUUUUUGCAGUUUUGAUCCCUGGGCAUUUUUUAAGUGGUUGAAGAUAUUAAGCCAAUUUUCUUCUCUUUCCCAGCAAGCCUGGUUAUCCCCUCUGCCUGCUUCAUGCUGCUUGCGUGUGCCUUGGCUCUUGCUAUUUGGCACUAAGUACAUGCAUUUCCUUUCUGUGUAAAUUCUUUUACUUUCAUGGUGUGUGCGAUUUGGUUUACUUUGCAGAAGCUUUGGAGAGAAGCAGAGAAAUACUUGUUUUGAUCCCUUGGAAACCUCUCUCCUUCCGCAGCCAUAGCAUUUUACAUGUUUCUUUUAAGCAAAUAUGUAUUUUUAGUUUGGUGGGCUGUUGAUAGCCACUUCUUUUAUCUCAUUUCUCUCCACACCAAUGUACGCCCCCAAACCCUGAAAGUGCGAAGUUUUUCUCCCUCUCCCCUCUCCAUUUCCCCAGCAAUUAGGUCUGUGUUGUUGGAAUGCUCCUUUGGGCUCCUGUAAGAAGGCAGGCUUCCUGCUUUCUUGUCCAAAUAUUCAGUGGGGAACAUCUCGUCCGGAGCUCAUGGAACAAGUGAGCAAAGCUUGCUGGUUUAAUAAGGAACAGGGAAAAAGAGAAAGAGAUGACCAGAAUUAUAUGAACCUUUUAAAAAAUCAAAACAGAAAUUGAGUACAUGCACGUACUUGGAAGCAAGAGCUAGAAAGGGCUAGAAGAGCAGGCAUCUCCAGACACCCCUAUUGUACCUAAAAUGGAAUGUAGAUUCCCUGGUUCUGCACCCAGAAGCUGAUUUCAGCAGGUACUGUGCCUCUGAUCACUUUGAUGUUCUUGUGCCUCUUCAAUAGUUAUGUUGUUUUUUCAGAUAUUUGCUGGUUUUCAAAGAGAGAUUUUCCUGUUAUGUUUGAAGUAGCUAAUUGGGUAGCAAAACACUGAUGAAACAGGAUGACUUAAUGCUCUUGUAAUGCUUUUUUGCUGCUCUGCUUCUUCUGUACUAACAGAAUCUGCUUAUUUGAACAGUCAAGAGCCAUAGUGUGUUAUGUAUAUGAAUUGACAUAUACUGUCCUGGGAAUUUCAUUCCUUAGAUAGCAUCAUUAUUUUAAGUUCCCAUUAAGGAAGGUUUAAUUAUCCAUUUAUAAAAUAGGCUUUGCACUGAAAUUAUUUAGCUUGAAUAGAAACAGGUUCACUAGUAAUCACAGUAUAUAUUUUAGACUAAUAGAUUCUUUUUUAAUCCAUGAGGUGAUUCUUCUCACCUUUUGUUUUUUUAAUCUCUCUUGAAAAUAUUAGGCCUUCUAAAGAGAAGCUUCAGUAAUAAAUGUUUGUAUUCAACAGCUUAUUCCUGAUUAUGCACACUUUUCACUUGAGAGGAAUGGACCAUUUUGGAUGUGUCUUCUCCAGGCUGAAGUGACAUCCUGCCUGAAUUUGUCAGUGUGCUCUCAUAUUUUAGGCAUGUGUAGCUCUUCACACCUUUCAAGUGUUGCUGGUCUACAACACCCAUUAUCCCUGACUAUUGGUUAUGCUGGUUGGGUCUGAUGGGAGUUGGAGUCCUACAACAUCUGGAGAGCCUCAGGUUUCUCACUUUUGGUUUAGCAUGACAUGCAAACAUACCCACUGUCUUUGGGCUACUGAGCAGCCCUAUGGUAUCCAGCAGCAUAAUUAUUUGUGCCAUCAAAGUUAAAACAUGUUUUGGUACUUUGCAGUCAGGUAGAGUUGCCUCAUGAGGGACGCGGGUGGCGCUGUGGGUUAAACCAUAGAGCCUAGGACUUGCCAAUCAAAAGGUCGGCGGUUCGAAUCCUCAUGAUGGGGUGAGCUCCCAUUGCUUGGUCCCUGCUCCUGCCAACCUAGCAGUUCGAAAGCACGUCAAAGUGCAAUUAGAUAAAUAGGUACCGCUCUGGCGGGAAGGUAAACGGCAUUUCUGUGCACUGCUCUGGUUCGCCAGAAGCGGCUUAGUCAUGCUGGCCACAUGACCCGGAAGCUGUACACCGGCUCCCUCGGCCAAUAAAGCGAGAUGAGCGCCGCAACCCCAGAGUCGUCCACGACUGGACCUAAUGGUCAGGGGCCCCUUUACCUUUACCUUUACCUUCGAGUUGCCUCUGUGCCUUCCUAAUUAGAAAACACCCAUUUACUAUUAAUAGUGGUUGACACAUAUUUUGCCUCUAUGACUUGUAGGCCAAAAUGGCUAUAUCAGGGGUAACCAUCAUGGUGUCCUUCAGAUGUUGUUGGGCUAAACAACUCCCAUUAGCCCUGGCCAGCAGGUACAGUGGUCAAGUAUGAUGGAAACUAUAUCCCCACAUCUUCUGGAGUACACCACAGUGGCUAACCUUGGCAUAUAGGUUGGCUUGCAAGGCUGUGCAUCUCAAACAGCUUCUUGAAAAAUGAGCUCCUUUUGUAACAGGACUGUGUUCCAUGACAGUGGGAACAGGGAUCAGCCCAUGAUGUAGGGGCCUAGGGUUAAGUUCAGUAAUGUUGUUAGAGUACUAAGUUUGUGGUGCGAAACAUCCAAAGCUGCAGUUCCAGACAAACAUACCUGGAAGCUAGCCCCACUGAUGUCAAUGGCACUUUCUUCUGAGUACAUAGGAUUAUACUAUUAAUCUAGGAUUGUAUUCCCCCCCCCCCCAUCUACCUGGGAAAAUACUGAUGUUAAGUGCUUACUAGAGGUAUGCAUGCAGUCAACUGUCAAGCUGGCUAUUUCAAAAUGAAGUGCAGUUUCUCAACUCUGCAGCCAGCUGCAUAGCUAGCCGCUCGGGUGCCAGGGCAGGGUGCGCCACGGAGCCUACAAUGAGUCUGUCCGCCGCAUCCCCCUCAGCUGUAGGGUGGCUGAGGGGGAGGCAUCAGGCAGACACAAGCUCCAUGUUGCCAUUUUGGGCAGCGCAGAGCUGGCAGGUGCCCGAGCCACUGCGUCACUCCCAGGAGAGAUGUGUGGCUCGGGCGUGCUGCGGGCCCUACAGUAAGUGCCACCCUCUGAUGUGUGGCGACCAGUGUACCCUGCCCCCUAGCUAUGCCUCUAUUUGCAGCUCCAGGUCAAAUGCAGUUCUCCUUUCUGUCUUCUCAGGACACUUCAGAGGACUGAAGAAGAGGCCAGAUGGAGGAGUUAAUCUCCCAAACCCUACUGGUUCCCACUAGCUUGCUGCCUUAUCUCCUGUUUUCAUAGACCCAGUUUCUACCCUCCAUUCCUAGACCCUUCUGUAUCUCUUCUGAAUCAGAGUACCUCAGAUGAAUGAACCAUAGCUGAGUAAGAGAGCACAUGCUUUGCAUGCAGAAGGCCUUAGCUUCAGCUCUGGCAUCUCCUGCCUGAAACCCUGGAGAGAUGCUUUCAGUCAGUAUAUGCAUCAUAAAGUCAAAUAAACCAAUGGUCUGACUUGGUGUAAAGCAGCUUCCUACAUUCCUAAUGGUAUCCACAGAUGCUUCUACUCUUUACCACUCUGACAUUAGGGCACCUCAUUCAAUCACACCAAAAAACUCAUCACUUUUACAAUGUAGUUUACAUAGAAUUUCAUUGUGUCUCAAAAAAACUGGUUGAAUCUUGUCAAGUACUUCUCACCUCUCACCUUUGUGUCUGUCAAUUCACCUGCUGCUUUGAGACCAAUUAAAGCUGUCACUUCAGGUGAUAUACAUGUAAUGGUUUGAGGAAAUAAUAGUUUAUGACUUGAAAUUGACUUUAUAAGGCUGGGCCAUAUAAUCUGUGCCCCCCCCCCCCAAUAGUUUCAGGCUGCAACUGCCAUGAUCCUUGAUCACUGAUCAUGUUGGCUGGGGCUGAUGGGAGUUCCAACAACAGUUGGAGAGUCACAGGUUCCCUUAUUUCUCUUAAAAUAUUACACCGUAGUAGUCAUUAAUGUGAAAAUACUGAGAGAGGGUUAAUUUUUGUUUUUAAUGACUUUCUCAGCAUUUAUGCAAUUUCUGGGUGAAGAGAUAAGAAUGUAAACAUUAUUAAGAACUAGUGUGGUUAAGUGAUUAGACUGUCUGGUCCAGGGUUCAAAUCACCACUCAACCAUGAAGCUCACUGGGUGACCUUGGGCCAGUCACUGCCUCUCAGUCUAAUCAACAUUGCAGGUUGUUGGGAUUAAACUGAGAAAGGGAGUAAGUAAUUUAAAAACAAAACAAAACAAUUUGAUACAUACACGUGGCUGAUAAAUGUACUGCACCUACUUAUUAAAAGGGAAUCUGUGUAAAAUAUAUUGGGGUUGUAUUCCACUAACAUAUGGAGAAUAGAUCCAUUGAAAGUAAGUUAGUUUGCCAUUUCAAUGGGUUUUCUGUGGGUAAAAGUUAGUGUAAUAUAGUACAGUGCAACUUUCUACAUAAAAUCUGGCCAUAGCAUCUAAAUAAGGCUUCUGCUGCAAGGCUUAUGUCAAGAGUGUUCUUGAAAAGUUUUAUAUAAUUCUGCCUAGCUAGAGUUACUAUGAUAUGACACUUUUCAUUGCUUCUGCAAAGAGCAAAGAAAACAUGGCCUUUCUCUUAGUCAUCAAAUGUCAGCUAGACAUUUGCCAGAAUCAGGAAACCUGAAUUCUAGAUGCCUCUGGCCACUAGAAAGAUUUUUUUUGUUCGUUAUGGAUAAUAUGCCAGGAUAAAUUUUUCAGGGAUGAGAAAUUUAGAUGAGGAUAAUUAGUUUGUGGUAGUAAAUGAAACUUGUAUGGAAGAAAAAAUGAUGUAGCUCCCAGUUAAGAUACCAAUGGAUUUUUCUGAAUCAAUUUCAGUUGUCCUGCAGGGCUGGUUGUGGGAUAAAAGCUGCCUUGGCUGCCCUGUGGGGUGAUCUUGCUGGGAAUGAAUGAUGGGGAGGGUACAAUAUUUUGGAAUGUUUUUACUUAGUGUUUGUAAUUAUAUUGAUGUGUUUGCUGCCCUGGGCUUCUUUGGGAAGCAGGGUAGGAUAUAAAUUGGGGGGGAGAGGGAAAAUAUUAACAAUAACAAUAGUAUUUAUUAUCUUGGAUCUCUGGGUAGCUUUCAAUAGCAUUGCCCAUGGAAUUAUCAGUAGACUAGUUGAGCUGGAUGUUCAAGGUGCGUUGGUGGUGAUUCUGCUACUACUUGGAUAACUGAUUCCAGAAGUUGGUGCUGGGGACCAUUUCUUGACUUCUUGGCAGUUAGGCUUUGGGAUGCCCUACGAUUCUCUACUCUUCUAACUGUGUAACAAUGCAUAAAACAGUUGGAAGAGUUCAUCCCGAGAUUUGGUUUGAGGCACCACCACUGAGAGCCAGUUUUAUAUCUUUUUCCACAUCAAAUUUAGGUGAGGUUCUAGGUCUCUUGAACUGCAGAGUGUGUGCAGUAACAGUUAGGAUGAGGGCUUAUAAGGUGAAACUUGGUCUACCCCUGGUGGAUGGUUCAUCCACCCAAGUGAGUGAUGUUAACCUUUUCUGGAAAGGAUUGCUUACUGAUCUAGCAUUAUCACUUGAGACCCAAGUGGCCUCUGUCACUCUAUGCACCUUUUAUUUCCUGUGGCUAAUAUACCAGCUAUGACCCUUUCUGGAUGUAGAUGGCAUGACCACAGUUACCUCUCAUUCAAAUUAAACAGUCUAUUUUAUAUUGGAAUGCCUUUGAAAAUGGCAUCAAAAAAUAAGGCUGGAAGAUUUUUAACUGGGUCUGGUUGAUUUGGUGUAUUGUAUCAAUGCUUUAUCAGUUGCACUGGCUUCCAGUCUAUUUCUGAACCCAAUUCAAAGGGCUGUUUUUGACCUUUAAAGCCCUUAUUGGCUUAGGAUGAGGGUAACUGAAAGAUAAUCCUCUCAUAUAUUUCUACUCAGACUUUGAGAUAUUAUUCAGAGCUCCUGUUCCAGGUGCCUCCACCAAAUUAUAUGAGUCAGGUAGCUUUUUGUUGUGGAACACCUGCAUAGAGAGGCUUGACUGCUGAUUCCUUUAUGGUCAUUUUGGCACCUGAUGAUGAUGAUGAUUUCAGGCCUUUAAAAACCUGCAGUAUUCACUUUUAAAUCCACUGCCUAUCUUUUCUGUAUUUUUAGUUAUGCUGUAAAACUGGAUUGCUGACUGUUUUAUGCUGAAAUUUGUUUUCUGUAUUUUAUUAUUUUAUGAGCCCCCUGAUGACCUUUGUUGUUGUGUUGCCUGUAUAACUUCCACAGAUAAACAAGUUCUAUAUGUACUAUGUGAAAGAUAAUUAGAUCAGGGGGUUUCAAACUUCCUUAAGGGAACCCUUAAACAUUUCUCAUAAAAUCCCUGCACAUUUUACAUUUUUAAAAAAAACUAGUACAGUAUGGUGUAUUGGUUAGAGUGUCUGACUAGGAUUUUGGAUAACAUAGUUCCAAUCCUCAACCAUCAAGUUGACUGGGUAAGUUUAGGCCAGCUUCUGCCUCACAGCCUAGCCUGCUUCCUCUGCUGAAUUCUGCACACCAAGGUGCUACCAGGCUGUUGUCUGACCAGCUUGCUAGCUUGCUGACCUUGGAAUGUUGUAGAAUGUAGAGGAUUACAAUAGGGUACUGACCCGACCUGUUGGACCUCCUCACUACCUGUUUGCAAUGAGAGUAUGUCAGAGAAUUGUGCUUUUGUUCACUUGCAACUACGUUGUAUUUUGGAGGAGAAGAUGCGUUGUUGCAGACAAGUUGUCAUUCAAGGAAGUUGCCAUUAUUUGACCUCUGAUAAGCUUCCAAGGAACUCUGGGUUACAGUUUUGUAAACCGUUGGCUUAGAAUGGUUAUGAAGUCAAUCAUCAUUUUUUCACACUCAGCAAUGCUUUGUCAUUGCCAGUUUUUGCUAUAUUUCAAUGACAUUAUUUGAACUCAAGGGUAUUAAGGCAGCUGGUGGAGGUAGAAAAUUGCUGCCCCACCCCCCCAUUAGUAAAACAUUUUUUUGCAGGGGGAGUAUUGUUGCUUGUAGUGUGUACAUUAAUCCCACAUUUACCUCUGGUAAACAGCUUUUGCAAGUUAUUUUUAUUACUUCUAGAACCUGUGAGACUAGAGUUGACAUUAGGACAAAAUUAAUUUGUCUGUACAAAACGGUGCAAUUUGUGUCUCUGCUUUUUUAAAAAAUUAGUGUCUACUCUCUAGCUCCUUUUACUUAGAGAUCUGGCAUACUGUUCAAAGCAUUUUUUAGUUUAAAAAAACUUGAAUAUAAUGUCUUCUAUUGAUUUAUAUAACUUGAAACCAAAAUUUCUAAAACAGCUUUGCAAAUGCAGUAGAUAUUGCCCAUUCUAGUUCUAUAGUGAUUUCCAAAAGGCAGAUUAUAAGAGGCUUUAUCAGUGGGUUGCUAGACUGGCAGUAGUGAGAGCAGAAAACAAUGCAGCCCAGGGGGGUUAAUGCACAACUGAUAUCUGUAUCAGGGAUAGUCAAAAUAUGGAUUUUUUAUAAGGACAGAAAGUGAUGGGAGUGGGGAAACUAGGAAUCAAGUAUGUUACUGAAAAAUUGUGAAAACAAAAUUGCAGGGUUUUUAGGGGAGGAAAUAUUCCUAAUGGGUUUGCAAGCAUCAUUAGAGAUGACUAUUUUUAACUUAUGGGCCCCCAACCAAAUUGCCUCUAAUUGGAAACUGAGAUGUGAAUAAAAAUAGAUGUGCACCUUAACAUCUUGAUGACUCUUGGCAUGCAAGUGGAGCUUCUAAAAUAUUAUAGGCACAAUGAGGUAUGUAUUACCUCAUUGUGAGAUGCCCACCAAAUAAACUUGGUUGUGUCUUCCUGGUUCUUUGAAAUGUUAUGUUGAUAGACAUAUAUCCAUUAUUUUUUGAUUGCUUGUUUAAAAUUGUAUUGCAAGCAGCUGCAUACCUAGACACUGUGGCAGGUAAGAUUGUUUCUUUCAUGCAAUAAACCAGAAUAGCUUUUAAAAUGAGUUACUGUUUUAUCUUGUUUAAGCUAUUGUUGUCUCUCAUAUUAAUAUAGCAGCAGAUGAGAUCACUAUGCAAUGACGGGCCAAAUAUAAAAUGGGUCAGUAAAUACGUAAGUGGGCUAGUACAUUUUUAUGAAUCUGGAUUCAAUACCUUUUGAUGAUUUUGUAAGCCUCAUUUAAAGUACAAUUUUAGGCUGCACCCAUAUGCAUAUCUGUCUGGUAGUAAAUUCCACCUAAGUUGGUGGGACUUGAAACCCAAUUCUAUGCAUAAUUAAUUAUGCCUAAGGUCAUUAAUUUAUUUUAUUUAGCAAUUAAUCAGUUUAUUUUAUUUAUAUAGCCAACUUGAUUUACAAGGCAGCUUACAAAUCAGUCCUUUGCAUGUUUACACAGAAGUAAGUCCACUUGUGUUCAGUUGCAUUUACUUCCUAUGAAGCAUGCUUAGGAAUGGUGCCUAAGGCUCAGAUCCUAUGCCUGCUUAGGAGUAAGCCCCAUUUAAUAUGGUGGGAUCUCUUUCUGAAUUAACAUGCUUAGGAUUGCACUGGAAAUGAUGAUACAGCUUUUAGCUCAUAUGGAAAUAAAAAUGAACUGAAACAGAAUUGCAGGAUGCAGUUAAUAAAAUGAGCAGUAGCAAAACCCAUACUGUACUGUACUGUCAGAAAGUAGGCCAACAAAAAUGGAAUGAAUUGUUAUAGCAACAAUGAUAGCAAAAAUCCACAAUAAAAAUGAAAAACAAUAGUUGAAACAAUGAAGCAUGACAUUUGAUAAGCAGAAACUAAAGACAGAGAAUAACAGCUCAAUUCAACAGGAGUGAAAUUGGCAAAAACUAGUCCCACAGAUGUUGAGCAGGUUGUAUAGGCUCUGAAACCCCCCCUGCUUUAACCUCCAGGGAGGUUCACAGCCUUGAUGGUACUGCUGAAAAGGUUGUGCCCUGUGUUAACCACCCACUGCAUCCCAAAUGGUGGUGCAACUUGAAGCAGCAACUCUUGAAAGAUCAAUAUGGAUGGACUUAUGAAAUAGGAGGCAGUCAAUGGCCUUAGGUGUGCCAACUUUGCAUAGGGUCUCUGUGUUACUUGCAAUUAGGUAUGCAUGCUAUUGGACUGUCAUGGUAGUAUUUUAUUGAACAUAGUGCCUUGAGUCCUAUACAACACCUGUCUGAGGUAAGCUUUAGUAGGACAUAUUUCUAGUAAAGAUUGCUUUGCAUAGCUCCACAGUCAGAACAUGACUGUAGUUUGCUGAAGUCAUUUUGAGCCAAGAGGCCUUUAGAGCUUGGUGGCAUUGGUUCUGUACUGAAUCAACUUGCUUCUAUCAUGGAUGGCACUUUGUGUACUUUCCCUUCUAAUCCUUGAAGUUAUAUAUGUAAGAGGACUAAAUGGUGGCCUUUAAGUAACUAGCUACGCUACAGAAAGCAUGAAAUGUACUGAAGGCUCAUCUUCAUAUAAGCUGCUGUCUUAUGUACAAAGUUCACAUCUUCAGAAAUAUGUCAUUCAGCAGGACUAAAUUCAUGCUCCUCUUAGAGCUGUAAUAAUUGUUUUUAUGAGCCAGCUGCAAUGAUAAUUUCAGAGCUUGGGUGUUGUGCAGUAAUUAUCAGCAUAUGGUUUUCUUGGGACAGGGAAUUGCAAGGUAGUGACUCUGUGGAGAGUUUGAAGGGAGGUGGUAAGGAAUUAAUUUCUCAAGUAGCAGGGUUUAAUUUGAGCCAUGGCCUACCUCUGGAAGAAGUGAUGAUAAAGAAUUUGCAGAGGGCAUUUCUCCACAGUCAGCACACCGGGUGGCUUUCAAGCAGAGGGAGCCCUGGAACAUACUUCAAAAAUCAAGCAGCAUUUUAAUAGCUGUGGUAGCCUGAUAAUGAAAAUUGAGGAGGGGACAUAUUUCUGUGAGAUCCAGAGACAUGUCGUUUGUACUAGGAACUGUGCUUAAUUUAAGCUUUCUGACAAAAUAAAAUAAAGGUUGCAUGGACACUCUGAGCUAAACAAUCUCACACUUUUACAAGCACCCAGGUUAAGCCUUCUAAUAACUUCAAGUCUUUUUGUGUGCCCACAAAAAGCCUGCAUUCUCCUCUUCUGCCUUCUCCCUUUGUUAGCUAGCAUCCCAACAACCUACCUGUGGUGCCAGGGAAGACAGUUGAAGUGGGUGGUAGGAUACUCCAGCUCCAUUGUGGAACAUCACUUCCUGUUAGAGAGGGCACUGGGACUUCAACUUUCAGAAUCCCUAAUGGGAAAAUGACUAUUCCCACAAGGGACAAGGUCAUUGGACUCUCUGGCAUUUCUAGUAGAAAUUUAAGUGAAUAAUGCUUUUUCAUUAGAGUUGCUAAGACUGAUGAUCCUAGUCCUUCCUGUGGUGGAAAUGGUUGUCCCAGGAGAGAGGAUUAGACAAAUUAAUAGAAUCAUAGAGCUGGAAAGCACCACAAGGGUAAUCUAGUCCAACUCCCUGCAAUGCAGGACUCUGUUGCCCAGUGUGAUAGCCAAGAAUUGAGAAUUCACUAUUCAGUUCUACACUUAGGGUUGAAUUCACUGAGUGACCUUUGCCACUUCACAUCUCACUCCAAUUUUCAGUUUGCAAAUAAUACAGACCUACCACUUGGUCUUAUUGUAAGGCUUAGCAGGACUACACGUGCGAAGCCCUUUGAACACUGCAAGUGUGAUGUAAAUACUAAGAAUUAUUACUAUUCUCUCUUGAAGCUAAGUAAAAGGUCAGUGAUUUAGGAGUGUUGUAAUGAGAGUUGUUGUAUAAAACAUGUUCUUCUUCUUUAUCUGUAGAUUACAUCUGGCUGCAUUUCCAAGUGGCAUCUAAUGCUUUCUUCAUAGAAUGAUGUUCUUGCUGUUACAGAAGAAUGAUUUUGUUUGGCAGAGCCUCACAAGUGGUCCCAGAAAGAGCUGUCCAAUAUUUGAUGUUUUCUCACUAAUGGUAAGUUUCUCCAAAAGUGGUUUACUACAUUACUUUAUUUAUAUAACUAAAAACAACCCCAGGAAGUCCCCCCCCCAUAGAAAAGCACAUUCUUAAACGUAUUAAAUAGGUUGCUCUGUAGUGUCAGGUCCUGCUGGUUUGAGUUCAAGACUGAGGCUUGCAAUUUGCUCCACAGCUGGCUCCUACAUGCCUUGCUAAAAUGUCUAUCUGAGCCCAUUGUAACAUAGGAAUUUCAUGGACCGUUAAGGGUGAAUGACUUUUCUGUUGUAAAAGAAGCUGUCCUUCUUUAAAAUCUGUUCAGAGCACAGGGUUUAGACUAUCAAGGUGCUACUACAGAUUUCUAUUGAAUAAUCAACACCAGUACUUUUCUGAACUGCAAACCCUCCCCUUAAAGAAACACCUAGUGGGCAAUAGGAUUUACUGAGUGCUAUCUUAAGUAGUAAGUGGAGGUGGCAAGUUGUGCUUUCCCUUUCCUAUGCCUGGUUCCCCCCCCCCCCCAGCAAAGACCUGUUGCCCCUUCCAGCCACUGUUGUUUCCUUCACCCCUCCAACAUUAAAUGUUUCUGGGGUGGAGAGAAUGGAGGAGUUGCCUAGUAACAGUUCAUGCACUGUAGUACAGCUUCUGGAUCAACUGAUUUUCAGGAUGUUGUUAGUGUGAGAGAGAUUGUAGCAGAAUGGAAGGAGAAAGAUGCAACUUAGAGAAGAGAAGGCAAAAUUAGGAGGUGAUGGUCAGCUCUUAAGUUCUUGCCUCUCCUCUUCCUCCUCCUGGGUUGUCAGCUAGGAGCCAGACAUGAUGUAGAGGCUGUCAGUGGCUAAUUUCUGUUUUGAACUGAAUUACCUAUCAUGUUAAAGGCACUGUUGUUAUAGAUCACAGGUAGCAUCUUUUAAUGCUAUAAUACAGGCAGCAAAGUUACCAUUUUGAAUUGUGAGAUCAAUACAGGAAGAGAUGUUCCCUUUUUAAGACGAAAACCGUAAUUGAAAGGGCAUGUUACCCUUGCAGACACUUACUGGAUGAGGACUGCUUUCCAUGAUGCAAUUUGCACUUGAAAUAACAUUUCUACAAGUCACCCCUCUGGGUAGGAUUUAUGUCCAUGCCUAAUUCAAAUCAGACAUGAGUGCCUAAAAUCUGGAGGCAUCCCAUAGAAAUACAUCCUUACUGCCUUGCAAUAACUCAUGGGAAUGAUUUGCUGAUGGACUCCUAUGAGUAAAAAUAAUACUAUGGUGAGUCUGCCUUUUCUUUAUAUAUGGAGAACCAGCUUUUAUUUAACUCUGCUAAUUCACCAAUGCUUGUGGAGCAUUUCUUACUUUUCUCCCACUCCCACCAUGCACAUACAUUCAAAACCUUCUAACCACUGCCACAAAUUGAUAUUAUUCCAUUUACAAAAGCCUUCAUCUAUACUUCAGUUGGUUACAUUUAAGACUUAUGUUUGCUGUAAUAAGGCCACUGUAUUCUUCAGGGGUGGCCCGGGAUGUUUUGAUGCUCUAGGCAAAAUGCCCUUUCACCGCUGCCCUCCUGACACCCUGACACCUGCAGAUCCAGGCCCCCUCUUUGCCCCUGCUGUCAUGGCUGCACCACUACCAGCUCUGCAGUGUUAGCAGUAAGAGCAGGAGUGCUGUGGUGGCAGCAGUUAUGGUAUGGGUGUGCAGGGCUGGCAGCGGUGCAAUGGGGUGGGUGGGUUAGGAACUGGAUCUGCUGCUUUAGGUAAAUUGCUUGACCUCGCCUCAUGGAAGUGCCGGCCUUUGUAUCUUUAAAUGACAGUUAACAGAUGUUUACAUAAGUCUGGUUCACAAAGUGUAGUUCUUAACACUAUUUAACUUGUAUGCCAUUUACCCUUAGUCCAUCUUUCACAGUCAUUCUCACCACCAGGUGGACUUCAGCUAGUUUCUUUUGAGCCAGAUUGCAGGCAUUUCUCACUGUGCUCAGCUUCAGAAGCUCCUUGCUGAAUUCUACUCGCUGCUCAACACCCUUAUAUAGACUCAGCAGCCUGAGAGUCCUCAACACCACCAAUACUGUCAGCGCAGGCAGGGAGAGCUCAGGGCUGCAAGGAAGGUGGUAGAAUCCCUAAUCUGUCCCAACUACCCAAUGCCAGGAACACACACUCUAACCCCCCCUCCACCCCCAACUGGACAAAGAGCCUGGAGAGAGAAAGGGAAUUUAUAUAGACUACAGCAACUCCCCCUCCCUGAUCCUCAAGUCUGCCCUGAGUACUCAAGUGGGCACAGCUGGAUGAGAUCCACUCCGUCCUGUUCAACCAUCCAGGUGUCAGUGAUACAGACCAGAACGGCCUCCUCAUCUAUAUUCAGAUCAUGAGAGAGUUCUUACUCAGAGCUGACCUGGCAUUCAGAAACAGUAGACCUGGGGGCUGGCUGAUAGGACAACUGCAAUUCCCCAGGUUGGAGGAGGGGCGGGCUGGCUGGCACAUGAUGCAGUCACUGACUGCAUGUGCCGUAUUCCCCUUACCUGGCCUCUCCCACCCACCCAUCAUGCUUUUAUGUUUUUGCUCUGGGUGCUCAUGAUUGACAGCUGAAGGCUGUGGUCCAGCGAAGGAAGGCCCACAAAGGCAGGGAAAAGGCAUAGUACCAGGGUUUGCAAGUGUGCCUUAAGGCAGUAAUGUGAAUGCAGACCCACACAAUAAAUGUCUUUCCUUCACUAUCCCUCAGCUUACAUGUGCUUUUACGGUUUGAUGUUGUUUCUGUACACCCUCAAAUUAAUGGCUCAUGGUUUGCCAUGUCAACUGCUGUAUAGGUGAAGGAGAUGAAUGUAGUUGGAGUGCAAUUACGAGCCUGUGGCCAUCUGGUUUAAGUUCCUGGAGCAUAAUCUGCCUGAAACAAACUGUACACAGUGUUAAAACAUUCUGACAGAAGUCUAACCUUUAGCACCUGCACUAUGUAUUCUAAGUAUGGGUGUUAAAAUUUCUGGCUAGCACCCUUGGCUUUUUUCCUGUAAUAAUGCUGUGGAGGAUUGCUUUUAUUUUCAUCAAUGAAACAACACUUUUCUUCUUGCUAUUCAACUAUAUCUAUCUAUCUAUAGUGGAUAGUAGUUUAACAUUUAUGUGAAAGACUUAGUUGUCCAAUUCUAGUGUACAUUCUUUUGUGAGGUACAGGAUGCUGGCUGAAGUUUAGAUCUUAAAAUAUUGGAUCUCCUGUUUACUGUUAAUUCAGAAUGCCAAGCUAAAUAGUACAGUGUAUGGAUUUUCCUACAUCUGCUGGUUAUGUGAAAUAAAAUUUUGGAAAAUGGCUAUAAAGAUAAUAAAUAUGUAAAAUGGUCUACAGGAGGCAUAAGGGACGCAGGUGGCCAAAAUCGGUCAGCUGGAUUUUGUUGGAUAUUAAACCUCAAAGUAUUAAUGUACAAAUUAUUGACUGCAGCUAUAAUUAUAUUUGCAAGAUUUUGGAAACUGAAUAGCAGAGCUCCCAUAUACCAGGUAAAUAGGAGAUGUUAUAACUAAAGUUACAGUUUC